CAACUUCCGAGGCGCCCUCAUUGCCAGCCGGACCCCAGCCUCCGACAGGUUCGGGCGCCCUGCUUGCCCCGUGCUUCGCCGGCCCCCGCCCAGCGCCCGGCCCCUCCGGCUCCACUCCGCUCGCUCGGUCGGUCGCUCCGACGCCAUGGACACGUUUUGGUGGCGCGCAGCUUGGGGACUCUGCCUCGUGCAGCUGAGCCUGGCGCAGAUCGAUCUGAAUAUAACCUGCCGAUAUGCAGGCGUAUUCCACGUGGAGAAGAAUGGUCGCUACAGCAUCUCCAAGACUGAGGCUGCCGACCUCUGCAAGGCCUUCAAUAGCACGCUGCCCACCAUGGCCCAGAUGGAGGUGGCCCGGAGCAUAGGGUUUGAGACCUGCAGGUACGGGUUCAUAGACGGGCAUGUGGUGAUUCCCCGGAUCCACCCCAAUUCCAUCUGUGCUGCGAACAACACAGGGGUUUACAUCCUCACAUCCAACACCUCCCAGUAUGACACGUACUGCUUCAAUGCCUCAGCUCCACUUGGAGAAGACUGUACCUCAGUCACGGACCUGCCCAAUGCCUUUGAAGGACCCAUUACCAUAACUAUUGUAAACCGCGAUGGCACCCGUUAUACCAAGAAAGGCGAAUACAGAACGAACCCCGAAGACAUCAACCCCAGCAUCGUGAGCCCCAGCAGCCCUCCUGAUGAUGAGAUGAGCAGUGGCUCCCCCAGCGAGAGAAGCACGUCAGGAGGCUACAGCAUCUUCCACACGCACCUCCCAACUGCGUACCCACCCCCAGACCAAGACAGCCCCUGGGUCUCCAGCAAACCAGAGAAUACCUCGGAUACCAUUUCAACCACACCACGGGUUUUUACCCACCCACAACAGAACCCGAAUUGGAUCCAAAGGAACCCAGACCAUUCGAAUCCAGAAGCAUCACCUCAGACAACCACAAGGAUGACUGAUGUGGACAGAAGUAGCACCAGUGCUUAUGGAGAACGCUGGACCCAGGAACCGCACUCUUCUCUCAGUCACCAUGGGUAUCAGGAUGAAGAGGAGACCCCGCAUCCUACAAGCACAACCCAGGCACCCACUACUAGUACAGCAGAAGAAACAGCUACCCAGAAAGAGCAGUGGUUUGAGAAUGGAAGGCCUGGGGAAUAUCCCCAAACACCAAAAGAAGACUCUCAUUCAACAGCAGGGACAACUGUCACAGCAGCCUCAACGCAUGUCAGCCAUCCCCGUCAAAGAGUGACAACGCAGAGCCAAGAGGACAGUUCCUCGACUUACUUCUUCGACCCAGUCUCGCAUCCAAUGGGGCGAGGUCAUCGAACAAAAGGAAGGAUGGAUACAGACACCAGCCCUAGUACAACGCUUCAGCCUUCUGCAGAUCCAAACACGAGUUCGGUGGGAGACUUGGACAGGACAGGACCUCUCUCAAUGACAACUCAGCAGAGUGAUACUCACAGCUUCUCUCCAUCGCAUGGCGGCUUAGAAGAAGACAAAGGCCACUCAACGACUGCUACUCCAACAUCUAUCAAUAGGAACGAUGGAAGAAGAGGUGGAAAUCUUCCUGAAGAUGCAACUACUUCAGUGGAAGGUUACACUCAUUCUCCAGAUACAAAUGAAUACACAACCCUCACCCCAAUGACCCCCACUAAGACUGGGUCCCCUGGAGUUACUGAAGUUACUGUUGUUGGAGAUUCCACCUCUAAGGCUGAUCUUACUUUACCAGGAGACUAUGGCUCGUCCCACGACCCCAGUGGAAGGUCCUAUACAACUCAUGCAUCUGAAUCAGCUGGACACUCAAGUGGGAGUGAAGACCAUGGGGCAAACACAACCUCAGGUCCUAUACGGAAACCUCAAAUUCCGGAAUGGCUGAUCAUCUUGGCAUCUCUCCUGGCCUUGGCUUUGAUUCUCGCGGUUUGCAUUGCUGUCAACAGUAGGAGAAGGUGUGGGCAGAAGAAAAAACUGGUGAUCAACAAUGGGAAUGGAACCAUGGAGGAGAGAAAGCCUAGCGGACUCAACGGAGAAGCUAGCAAGUCUCAGGAGAUGGUGCAUUUGGUGAACAAGGGGUCGUCAGAGACCCCAGACCAGUUUGUGACGGCAGAUGAGACACGGAACCUGCAGAAUGUGGAUAUGAAGAUUGGGGUGUAACACCUACUCUGUGACCUUGGAAAUAAACCACCAUUGGAGACACAACCAUUACAGGGAGCUGGGACACUUCACAGAUGCAGUGUGCUACUGAUUGUUUCAUUG
rnacentral:lncRNA from 1 species